GACGAACGCUGGCGGCGUGCUUAACACAUGCAAGUCGAACGGAAAGACCCUGCCUUUGUGGGGUGCUCGUGUGGCGAACGGGUGAGUAACACGCGAGUAAACUGCCCUUGACUUUCUGAUAACUUCACGAAACUGGGGCUAUUACCGCAUAGGAGCUCCUGCUGCAUGGUGGGCGUUGGAAAGUUUCGGCGGUUGGGGAUGGACUCGCGGCUUAUCAGCUUGUUGGUCUGGUAGUGGCUUACCAAGGCUUUGACGGGUAGCCGGCCUGAGAGGGUGACCGGGCACCAUGGGCCUGAGAUACGGCGCAGUAGCGUAUGGGCGGCAGUGGUGGGGAAUAUUGCAGAGUGGGCGGAAGCGUGAGGCAGAAGCGUCGCGAGCGGGAUGACGGGCUUCUGGGUGUGAACCGCUUUGGACUUUGACGUAGAGGGAGUGACGGUAAUGGGUAAAGAAGCACCGGCUAACUACGUG
rnacentral:rRNA from 1 species